CCGAUGGCGACCGGCGCACGGGUGAGUAACACGUAUCCAACCUGCCGAUAACUCGGGGAUAGCCUUUCGAAAGAAAGAUUAAUAUCCGACAGGAUAUCAAGGUCGCAUGAUCUUGAUAUUAAAGAAUUUCGGUUAUCGAUGGGGAUGCGUUCCAUUAGUUAGUUGGCGGGGUAACGGCCCACCAAGACGACGAUGGAUAGGGGUUCUGAGAGGAAGGUCCCCCACAUUGGAACUGAGACACGGUCCAAACUCCUACGGAAGGCAGCAG
rnacentral:rRNA from 1 species